rnacentral:rRNA from 1 species
UAGAGGAAGUAAAAGUCGUAACAAGGUUUCCGUAGGUGAACCUGCGGAAGGAUCAUUACCUAGAGUUGUAGGCUUUGCCUGCUAUCUCUUACCCAUGUCUUUUGAGUACCUUUCGUUUCCUCGGCGGGUCCGCCCGCCGAUUGGACACAUUCAAACCCUUUGCAGUUGCAAUCAGCGUCUGAAAAAACUUAAUAGUUACAACUUUCAACAACGGAUCUCUUGGUUCUGGCAUCGAUGAAGAACGCAGCGAAAUGCGAUAAGUAGUGUGAAUUGCAGAAUUCAGUGAAUCAUCGAAUCUUUGAACGCACAUUGCGCCCCUUGGUAUUCCAUGGGGCAUGCCUGUUCGAGCGUCAUUUGUACCUUCAAGCUCUGCUUGGUGUUGGGUGUUUGUCUCGCCUCUGCGCGCAGACUCGCCUCAAAACAAUUGGCAGCCGGCGUAUUGAUUUCGGAGCGCAGUACAUCUCGCGCUUUGCACUCAUAACGACGACGAUCCAAAAGUACAUUUUUUACACUCUUGACCUCGGAUCAGGUAGGGAUACCCGCUGAACUUAAGCAUAUCAAA